UACGAAGGGGGCUAGCGUUGUUCGGAUUUACUGGGCGUAAAGCGCACGUAGGCGGAUUUUUAAGUCAGGGGUGAAAUCCCGAGGCUCAACCUCGGCAUUGCCUUUGAUACUGGAAGUCUUGAGUUCGGAAGAGGUGAGUGGAAUUGUGAGUGUAGAGGUGAAAUUCGUAGAUAUUCACAAGAACACCGGUGGCGAAGGCGGCUCACUGGUCCGAAACUGACGCUGAGGUGCGAAAGCGUGGGGAG
rnacentral:rRNA from 1 species